rnacentral:rRNA from 1 species
AACGUAGGAGACAAACGUUAUCCGGAGUUACUGGGCGUAAAGGGCGUGUAGGCGGUUUGUUAAGUCUGGCGUGAAAGCUCUCGGCUAAACCGGGAGAGGUCGUUGGAUACUGGCAGACUAGAGGACGGUAGAGGCGUGUGGAAUUCCUGGUGUAGCGGUGGAAUGCGCAGAUAUCAGGAGGAACACCAAUAGCGAAGGCAGCUCGCUGGGACGGUACUGACACUAAGGCGCGAAAGCGUGGGGAGCGAACAGG